GGACUUGUAGAAUGAAUCUCUCUUUCCAUUUUAUUUACGUGUGUGUGUGUGUGUGUGUGUGUGUGUGUGUGUGUGAUUUUAUUAGAUUUAUUAGAAUGACUUACAGGCUUUGGUCUAGCUAAUCCAACAAUGGCUGGCUGUGAACAGAAAGUCCAAGAGUCUAGUCUACAAGGCUGGUUGUCUCAGCUGGUCCCAGAGUGGACUCCAAUGACAGUAAAGGAAUAGACUUGCUAGCAAGGAAAGGGCAAAGAUCAAAAACUUCCUCCUUCUACAUCCUUCUCUUGGCUUCCAGCAGGAGGAGUGGCCCAGAUUACAUAGGCACCUUCCUGCUUCAACAUCCAGAUUAAAGAUGCGUCUUUUCCCUGCUCCAAAGACCUGGAUUAAAGCCGUGUUUUCCUACCUCAAAGAUCUGGAUCAGAAGUGGUCUUCCUACUUCAAAUUAAGCAAAAUAUCCAAAAAUAAAAUAAAAUGUGUUCUUGUCUUGAAGUAGAAAGAGUGUAAAAGCUGGAAGCUGGGGAGUAACACCAUCCUCUGGACAUGGACAGCUGUCAUGCUCUCAAACUCACCGGAGCUAUGCAAGAUCAAGUCAACCAAAGUUCCCUCAAAGAUUUGGGAGUUGUCCUCCAGGUCCCACCCCUUCCUGAGAACUGUUGGCAGUUGGUAGCUGCAAGGGAAGGAAGAGCCAUUCUGCUGCUGCGCUGUGGCCACUGAGGAGUUUCCCGUGUUUCAGUGGAUGGCUCUACACCGAUACACACGAGGGCGGCACUGAGGGCUUAGAGUCCUAUUAAACACCACCAAGUCAUGAAGGGACGUCUUGAGCACUUGGCCUGCAUGAUGGAUUGUUCCACUAAAAUAUGAGUCAGAAUAAACCCACUCCUUGAGUUAUUUUUGUCAGGUAUUUUUGCCACAGAAACCAGGACAAAUACCCUAGCUGUUAGUAAAAUAUGACAGAAUUUUUCCUUCAAGAAAAAAAAAUAGGAUUCUGGUGAAACCAAACAGGUAGGAAAUGGUUGAAUGUUUGUCCUGCAAAUGCUUCACUGUAGUGGAGGAGCAUGCAGACAUAUACAGGGUCUCUGGACUUCCCUUCAACUCUGCUGCAACCAGAAAACACAAAGUCAUCUUUAGCAAUCAAAAUCAAACAGAUGGUGCAAGGCCUCAUGAAGCCACACACCAGGCCCCAAAGUGGACAUGGAUGACAGCUCGGAAUGCAAAGUAACUAAUCAGAAGAAGAAAAUAAUAGAAUACAAAAGACCACGCUGCUGGGAACAAAUGAAUAAGAUUCAAAACUUCUUAUGCUAGGUAAUGACUAGAAAUACGAAAUAAAUACAAGAAUUUAAACGUUAUUCUAUGGGCUGGAGAGAGAGCAGUUAAGAGUACUGACUGCUCUUCCAGAGGUCCUGAGUUCAAUUCCCAGCAACUACAUGGUGGCUCACAACCAUCUGUAAUGGGAUCCAAUGACCUCUUCUGGUGUGGCUGAAGAGUGCAACAGUGUACUCACAUAUAUAGAAUAAAUAGAUCUUUUAAAAAAUAAAAUAAAAGUCAUUCUAUAGCUAA
ensembl:lincRNA predicted gene 43625